AAUUGAUUGGGGUUGGGUUGGCCACACCAUGAACAGCCAUGGACAUGCCAGUACUAAUACAAGACUCAUUUGCAGGGCCACCAACACUAGGUUUAGUCUCCACAGCCUCAUCAUUAUCACUGAUUGGCAGCCUGUGAAACGUAGGGUUCAAGAAAGUGGCGGCAACUACCACCACCAGACUUGCAGCUAACACCUUCCCGGCGAUAAUUCCUCCGAAUACCUGUCCUUG
rnacentral:misc_RNA from 1 species